UGCAUGGUGGCACAGUUGAUAGCACUGUUGCCUUGCAAGAAGGUCCUGGGUUCGAUUCCCAGCCAGGGGUCUUUCUGCAU